rnacentral:rRNA from 1 species
GAUGAACGCUAGCGGCAGGCUUAAUACAUGCAAGUCGAACGGUGUCUUCGGACAUAGUGGCGCACGGGUGCGUAACACGUAUGCAACCUACCUUACAUUGGGGGAUAGCCUUUCGAAAGGGAGAUUAAUACCGCAUAAGACAGUAACUAGGCAUCUAGUAGCUGUUAAAGAUUUAUCGAUGUAAGCUGGGCAUGCGUCCAAUUAGCUAGUUGGUGAGGUAACGGCUCACCAAGGCAAUGAUUGGUAGGGGAACUGAGAGGUCAAUCCCCCACACCGGCACUGAGAUACGGGCCAGACUCCUACGGGAGGCAGCAGUAGGGAAUAUUGGGCAAUGGACGCAAGUCUGACCCAGCCAUGCCGCGUGCAGGAUGAAGGCGUUAUGCGUUGUAAACUGCUUUUAUACAGGAAGAAACGACUCUUGCGAGAGGCAUUGACGGUACUGUAUGAAUAAGCACCGGCUAACUCCGUGCCAGCCGCCGCAGUAACAC